UACGGAGGGUGCAAGCGUUAUCCGGAUUUACUGGGUUUAAAGGGUGCGUAGGUGGAUUUGUAAGUCAGUGGUGAAAUCUCCGAGCUUAACUCGGAAACUGCCAUUGAUACUAUAAGUCUUGAAUUAUCUGGAGGUGAGCGGAAUAUGUCAUGUAGCGGUGAAAAGCUUAGAUAUGACAUAGAACACCAGUUGCGAAGGCAGCUCACUGCGAAUAUAUUGACGCUGAGGCACGAAAGCGUGGGGAUCAAACAGG
rnacentral:rRNA from 1 species